rnacentral:rRNA from 1 species
UACGGAGGGUGCAAGCGUUAUCCGGAUUCACUGGGUUUAAAGGGUGCGUAGGUGGGCAAGUAAGUCAGUGGUGAAAUCCCCGAGCUUAACUUGGGAACUGCCAUUGAUACUAUUGAUCUUGAAUACCGUGGAGGUCAGCGGAAUAUGUCAUGUAGCGGUGAAAUGCUUAGAUAUGACAUAGAACACCAAUUGCGAAGGCAGCUGGCUACGCGAAUAUUGACACUGAUGCACGAAAGCGUGGGGAUCAAACAGG